rnacentral:misc_RNA from 1 species
GAUGAAGAACGCAGCGAAAUGCGAUACGUAAUGUGAAUUGCAGAAUUCAGUGAAUCAUCGAAUCUUUGAACGCAUAUUGCGCUCUCUGGUAUUCCGGAGAGCAUGCUUGUUUGAGUAUCAGUAAACACCUCAACUUCCAUAUCUUUUUUGAAAUGGGAGUUGGACUUGAGUGAUCCCAACGCUUUUCCUCACCGAAAAGUGGCGGGUUACUUGAAAUGCAGGUGCAGCUGGACUUUUCUCUGAGCUAUAAGCAUAUCUAUUUAGUCUGCCUAAAAAACAGAUUAUUACCCUUGCUGCAGCUAACAUAAAGGAGAUUAGUUCUUGUGCUGACUGAUGCAGGAUUCACAAAGACGGCUUCGGCCGACUUUGUAAACUCGAUCUCAAAUCAAGUAAGACUACCCGCUGAACUUAAGCAUAUCAAUAAGCGGAGGA